rnacentral:rRNA from 1 species
GUAGGUGGCAAGCGUUGUCCGGAAUUAUUGGGCGUAAAGCGCGCGCAGGCGGUUCUUUAAGUCUGAUGUGAAAGCCCACGGCUCAACCGUGGAGGGUCAUUGGAAACUGGAGAACUUGAGUACAGAAGAGGAAAGCGGAAUUCCACGUGUAGCGGUGAAAUGCGUAGAGAUGUGGAGGAACAGCAGUGGCGAAGGCGGCUUUCUGGUCUGUAACUGACGCUGAGGCGCGAAAGCGUGGGGGAGCAAACAGGAUUAGAUACCCUGGUAGUCCACGCCGUAAACGAUGAGUGCUAAGUGUUAGGGGGUUUUCCGCCCCUUAGUGCUGCAGCUAACGCAUUAAGCACUCCGCCUGGGAGUACGGCCGCAAGGCUG